AUCCUUUUGUGAUUUGUAAGUGUGAUUGGGUUUUCAAGCUCCUGGCUGAGAGGUGCCUCCUUCAAACCUUGUUAGAAUGUCUGCACAUUACCUAUCUGCUA
ensembl:snoRNA